CAGCUCCUUAAUCUAUAAAAUGAAAGGGUUGGACAAUCAGCUGUUUCCAAAGAGAGUUCCACAGAGCCUUGGAGUUUCCAUGGAGACGCCCUGGGGACCAGUUCAGUAGGUAAAGGCUCUGAGUCCUUUAUCCCACUCCAUACAGAGAAGAUUUCACUUUUUGGUUGCAUACAGUGGGCUCUACAUAAGAUUUCAUUUGAACAAAAGAGGCUGCUGCUGCGAAGAACUCGACAAUUGCUGGCCUGGGUGAGCUCUAAAGUUCCUUCUAGUUUACGAUGCCUCCUAUACUCAUGAAAAAGCCUCAGGCAUCCCGUCAGACCACAGUCAAAACACCCGCUGGUUCAUUCAUUCAUUCAUUCAUUUGUUUAUUCAUUCAUCAAAUAGUUCAAAGAACACUGAGUGCCUGCUAUUGCCAAGCAAAUAACAUUUGAUUGUCCAGGAACUUGCUGCCUCAGUUUCUCCCUAUGUCCUGCCCCUGCCAAUACUGGAAUGUGACACAGCUCAGGACUGGUACAUAGUGAGGGCUCCCUGGACAGGUCUGGGUAUUGCUUCCCCAUCAGAGCAUCCAGACUCCACCUGGUGCUGCUAAGGCCUGCGCUUGGCUGACAAAGCCCUGGGCUCUCUGUGCGGGCUUCCCUCGUGCCCCCCACCCAGCACUGCCAGCCUGGCUGGGCACAGUCCACCCCUGUUGUUGCUGUACCGAGAGGAAGCUGUUUUGCCCAGACAAGACACUUAAGCUAAGUGGCUAUUGUUACAUCAAUGGGCCUUGCCACCCAGCACCCCGGCCUUGAGCCCCGUACACUCACUCCCACACAUUCACGCUCAUGUUUGCCAAGUCACAGGCCAAUGCCGGGGGAGGCAGAGCGGGAAGGGCCAGGUGGAAGGCUGCUCAGCACCAAUGACAACAUGAAACAGAGUUCUCAGGGCAGCGUCCAGACCCCACUCUGGCCACGGGGGAGCUGCGACGCUAUUGCUGAGCCUUGGCAUUCAUAGCAGACCUGAGGAUCCCACUCCAUCCUCCAGCAGGCCACCGGCCUCCCAGGAUCACCAUCCACCUUGUUCCCUGAAGGUUCCACUGACCUCUGGAACGAGCUCAGGCUUGGGUUCUCCACCGGUUGUGGGGGAUGAAAACCCUGACUCUAAGAUAAAGGCCACUACGUGAACCUGGAGUUCUUCAGAGUCACCAUGUGGAAAAUGUGAUAACACAACAAACCAGAGAAUGUGUCUGGCACUGGGUGGGCUCUGAAGAAAUGUCAGGUUUAUGUCUUGCUCUGUUCCUCAGUUUCCAUCAGAGACACAAGUUGGCCUGUCCCAGAGUCCUUGCUGACACGGCUACCUGAUCCAUGCGGAAUCUCUGCCAUUGAUUGGUUCAGUUCAAUAAGCGUUGACUGCUCAGCACCAAGCCCCACAGCAGCUGCUGGGGGUGAAGGUGGCAAAGAACAGAAAGGCAGGGAGCCUGCCCUGGGAGAACACAGCAUACCUGUUCAGGCUGCGAGGUGGGGAGACAGUGAGGCAUGAAAUUCUUUUGCUGGUAGUUUUCUUAUCUCCAGAGGGGGAGGUGUCAGGCUGGUGCAAGACCUGGACACUUCCCCCAGCAGACUGGCUUUGGAGGCCUGCCCCUGCCCUUGACCUUCACAGCUGACCCAGCCUGGCUCUGCCCUUUUCUGUCUUCUUGGAAGGAAGGAAACAGCUGUUUGCACCAUGCCCACCUCCCUCUGACUACCCCGUUCCUUUGCCUCAUUCCCUGCCCUCCCCACUCCGGCUACCUGGCCCACGACUACUUCCACCCACAGGCCAGCAGCAGCGGCACCCUCGACCCAGGUGUUCAUUUUCCCUUCCUUUUACCUCCCACCACGUGGGAACCCCGGGCCACCAGGCUCAUUCACACCCUGGGCAUUUCCCACCUCCCAGUCCCUUCCAUCUGGGGUGGAGGGAGUUUUACGUAAAAAAUGUGUCAGCCGUGUAAACCAGCACAUGCCUCAAGGAGCCAGAU
rnacentral:lncRNA from 1 species